rnacentral:rRNA from 1 species
ACUCCUACGGGAGGCAGCAGUGGGGAAUAUUGCACAAUGGGCGCAAGCCUGAUGCAGCCAUGCCGCGUGUGUGAAGAAGGCCGUUCGGGUUGAUAAAGCACUUUCAGUCGUGAGGAAGGGUUAGUGUCAGUUAAUAGCUGCAUUAUUUGACGUUAGCGACAGAAGAAGCACCGGCUAACUCCGUGCCAGCAGCCGCGGUAAUACGGAGGGUGCAGCGUUAAUCGGAAUUACUGGGCGUAAAGCGCAUGCAGGUGGUUUGUUAAGU